GUAAGGUAGAGCUGAGGAUGUUGCAGUACAAGAGCUUUUGCAAGUAGAGGAUGAAGAUUUAUGAGAUUUUUCUUGCUAACAGAAAUCAUGAAACACACUUGAAAACCUCCCAGUGUCUGUGAUGAGCACCUGGAGGAGCUGGUGUGGCUGGAGCACGUGGGCUGCACUGGGAAUCCCAGCCUGUGGAGACAGAGAUGCCAGAGCUGGCCUUGGGAUGGCCCUGCUGGAUGUCAGCCUUUUAGAGCAGACUAACCUGAGUGGGAAAAAUACCUCACAGCAGUCCCAGCAGCUUUGAGGUGCUGAGUGCUGCUCUCACACAGUGCCUCACUCCAUCAGCCUUUUGAGGGGCAGCCUAAAGCCCCACCUGCCCUCUGAUGAAGCCAUCCUGGAAAAUGCCUUUUCACCUGCAGGUGAGAGGGACAGGUUUUGUUCUGAAGGAGUGGGGAUCCAGCUGGAGGCUGCUCCAGCCAUUCCUGUGGCCAGGUGUCACAAGGACAAUGGCAAGGGUUGGCAGCCCCACUGCAGUGCAGGGAAGGGCCACGUCCUGUGCAUGCAAAUGCACUGAGAUAUUAAGCUGUGCCCCUGCUGUGAAAAUGGGCAAUCUGUCAGCACAGGGCUCUGCAGAGGGCAAAAACCACCACGGGGUGUGU